UGGGUAACCCUGACUAAACGUAUGCCACGGAUCCAUCUUCUCGAUCUGCAACCUCCCGCCGCCGCCGUCGUCAGGUUGUUCGAUGCGGGAGGUUGGAGCAGCCUGUCCCUGAUUAAUCAGACGUGGCAGGUAGCAGCAGCCUGUCCCUGAGAGGAGAUGGGACGUGGAGCCAGGAGGAGGAGAAUUCGGAGGAGGAUGUCAAAAUUAAGUAGUGCUUAUUCAAUUCCCUUGACCCUUACAAGGUCAGUGGAUUUCCCUGAAACAUCUCGCAGCUGAUCUGAUGCCGCUCCCAGUGUGAGGCUUCGGCGUUGCACCGGUCUCAGUAGGAUAUAUUCAACCACGGCAUACUGAAUCAACUCAAGACUAGCAAUGAUUUGGUGUUUAAUUCCUGGCUCCCUAUGAUUAAUCAUGAAUGAAGCAAAUAGCCAAAUAAGCACAUGUGAGUACUAUUUGUUUUACCGAUGCUACUGGAACACAUUGUUUUGUUUUAUGAUUCUGCAUCUUCCUUUUGCAUAGGGGUGAUAAAAUUAAAGUUUUUGAGUUGGUGAGACUUC